rnacentral:tRNA from 1 species
UCCCUGGUGGCUCAGUGGUAAAGAAUCUGCCUGUCAAUGCAGGGGACAUGGGUUCAAUCCCUAGCCUGGGAA